GAUGAAGAACGUAGUGAAAUGCGAUAAUUAAUGUGAAUUGCAGAAUUCAGUGAAUCAUCGAGUCUUUGAACGCACAUUGCGCCCCCUGGUAUUCCGGGGGGCAUGCCUGUCCGAGCGUCAUUGCUGCCCUCAAGCACGGCUUGUGUGUUGGGCUUCCGUCCCUGGCAACGGGGACGGGCCCAAAAGGCAGUGGCGGCACCAUGUCUGGUCCUCCAGCGUAUGGGGCUUUGUCACCCGCUCCCGUAGGUCCAGCUGGCAGCUAGCCUCGCAACCAAUCUUUUUAACCAGGUUGACCUCGGAUCAGGUAGGGAUACCCGCUGGACUUAAGCAUAUCAAUAAGCGGAGGA
rnacentral:misc_RNA from 1 species